UAAGCCCAGCAGCCAGUGUGCAGCCAGGCCCAGCACACGCUCCCGCAGCCAGCAACUUCCUCUGAAGCUGCAACGCAUAAUUACAACCAGCUGCUCCUGGCUGCUGGCUGGCCAGCUCUGCAAACAGGCAUCCUGAUACCCUGAGUUCCAGGGAGGAAGCAGCCUGCUUUUGGCAGGAGCAAAUUCUCCGAAGGAAGUGCCCACACCCUUGGAAGAACAGGGAGCAGCCCUUCUCUCUCGUGUAGCUCCCAGAGGCCAGCGUUCCCCUGUCUGGUCUCCUCUCUCUUCCAUGUCAGAGAGAGUCAUUUUUAUUGUUAAUAGGAAGGUGUCUGCUUUGUCACCUGCAGCUGCCCUGGCCCUGUGGCCUAUUGUCUGAGCUGGUGCCACCUCAAGCAGGAUGGCAUGUGCUAGGCCUAACUCGGGGGGCAGUAGCAUGGGGGACCCAGGCUUUUCGUUGGCAUCUCAGCUGCGUCAGUUUGCAAACAUGUGCACUGCCCUUAGCUAGCAGGAGGUGAAAAGACAAGUGGCGUGGCUUUAAAACAACACCAGUGAAAAUCCAAACAAGUCUAACUUGACCUCCCCAAGGAGAACAGCAUGUGGGCAAGAGAGCUGAGGAUUCACCCAGGACCUGCCUCAGAGCUGGGGGUUCAUUUUGGGGCCUUAGUGAUCUUUCAGGCUUGCCUACAAGUAUGACUCUGAUCCAAAAUUAGGCUUUGAAUGUGUAACACAAGGCUCCCUGCCCCACCCACCGCCUCCCUCUGCCCUGUGCCGUUUCUUCAGAGCCUGGCUCUGGGCCAGAUCUGGCCCUUCUGGCUCCUGGGGGAAGGGCUGGAUGCAGUGUUCUGUUUCCAGGCAGGGCUUUAGGGUGGGUGAAGGUGAUUGCACUAUUCAGGAAGGGGUGCGGAGGUGAUACGCUUGGGAAGGGCACCCAACCCUCAAAUGCCUCACCCCAUCAACCCAAAGCUGGAGAAGACUUAGGGCAGUGCGCAUUGCUUAUGCCCACCUGUGCCUUCCAGCUUGGGCUUCUAAUAGGCCUUCGACAGCGAGAGAGCCAAGCCAUGUGGGCCGGCCACUCUGUCAAGCCCAACAGCAGCCUCAGAGGUUUUUCUUCGGGCUUGCAAUGAGGAACAAGCUUAACAAGCAAACAGUCAUGUCUGAGCUCUCAGUUCACCGCAAACCAUACUUGAGAACGUCGGGAUGAGAGCGUGGCUUUAGAGGGCUCCGCUCCCCGAGAAGGAAUGUGGAGAAGGCACCUACAGCCCUGUGGUAUCAGUCCAGCCAUUGAAGUGGGUUUCAUGGAAAACCAUCCACCGACAAAGAAAGAAACGCAAGUACUUUCUUCAGAUGGAGAAACUGAAGCACGAAGAGGUGAAGUGAGGUCACCAAGGGAGCAGCUUGCAACAGAAUAUGUUAGAGAUCUCAGCUGGGUUUCUCCAGGACAGAUGACAAAGUUAAUGCAGGUAGGUAACAAAAUGGACAUGACAUGAGCACAGACAGGAUAUGGAGAAGAGAGGAUGAAGCCUGAACAACCUUGCCUGCACUAUUCAAUACAUUAGCCGCAC
rnacentral:lncRNA from 1 species